rnacentral:rRNA from 1 species
AUUGAACGCUGGCGGCAGGCCUAACACAUGCAAGUCGAACGAGCGGCGGACGGGUGAGUAAUGUCUGGGGAACUGCCCGAUGGAGGGGGAUAACUACUGGAAACGGUAGCUAAUACCGCAUACUAUCGGAUGAACCCAUAUGGGAUUAGCUAGUAGGUGGGGUAAAGGCUCACCUAGGCGACGAUCCCUAGCUGGUCUGAGAGGAUGAUCAGCCACACUGGGACUGAGACACGGCCCAGACUCCUACGGGAGGCAGCAGUGGGGAAUAUUGCACAAUGGGCGCAAGCCUGAUGCAGCCAUGCCGCGUGUAUGAAGAAGGCCUUCGGGUUGUAAAGGACUUUCAGCGGGGAGGCGUUACCCGAAGAAGAAGCACCGGCUAACUCCGUGCCAGCAGCCGCGGUAAUAC